CUCGCUCUCUGCCUGCUCCGUCACGUGGGAAGAGAGCCCCGGGGUCCUCCCAGUAGCUGCCGCGCUUCCGUGCACAGAAUCGCGGCAACGGCGUGGGAUCGCGGCAGGGCGAUUGCCGUUCCCGUCGGUCGCUGCCCUUUUCCCUCUCUCCUCCGGCUGUCUUGGAAAGGAGCUGGGCCGGAUCUUGUCCUCCUACAACCAUGAAACUCUUCGCUGGGUUUUUCCUCCCCGGGCUGUGGCUGGUGCUCCUGUCUUGCAGUUGUCGCGUGUACUCGGAGGACCCAGCACCCAAACCUGUUCCUGCCGCUUCGAAUGCAACAAAGGACCCAGCACCCAACCCUGUUCCUGCCACUUCAAACGGAACAGGUAA